rnacentral:rRNA from 1 species
UGGGGAAUAUUGCACAAUGGGCGCAAGCCUGAUGCAGCCAUGCCGCGUGUGUGAAGAAGGCCUUCGGGUUGUAAAGCACUUUCAGCGGGGAGGAAGGCGAUAAGGUUAAUAACCUUGUCGAUUGACGUUACCCGCAGAAGAAGCACCGGCUAACUCCGUGCCAGCAGCCGCGGUAAUACGGAGGGUGCAAGCGUUAAUCGGAAUUACUGGGCGUAAAGCGCACGCAGGCGGUCUGUCAAGUCGGAUGUGAAAUCCCCGGGCUCAACCUGGGAACUGCAUUCGAAACUGGCAAGCUAGAGUCUUGUAGAGGGGGGUAGAAUGCCAGGUGUAGCGGUGAAAUGCGUAGAGAUCUGGAGGAAUACCGGUGGCGAAGGCGGCCCCCUGGACAAAGACUGACGCUCAGGUGCGAAAGCGUGGGGAGCAAACAGG